CUACACUGAUGAAGUUGCUCCCACGUUUGUAUGCACUAAUCUUGGCUAAUCAUUAUAUCAUUCAUGAUGCUCUUUUUUUUUCAGAAAUUUCAAGAUAUCUAUCUGUUCUACUCCGUGUUUCCUCAAAAUAGAAACCCUCAAAACAAGGAACAAGUGAAUUUGGUUUCACAAAAUUUUCAUCUCAGAAGUUGUUUGAUAAGGGAUUUUGGUGCUGAUUAAAUUGGGUUUAAUUUGUGGGAGUUUGAAGGAGAAUAUUGGAGGUUUGUAAGGUUUGUAAGGUUUGUAAGGUUUGGCAGAAUUGGGAUGUUUGUAUGAAUUACCUGCCUACAUUUUGUAGGGAAGAAGUGAUCGAAUUAGAAGAUGGCUUCAUCCCCAGAUUCUCUACCUCAAAUCCCUCCAACUCCACUAACUCCCGUCCUUCCAUCAUUACUACCACCGCCUGAAUCGGCUCCAGAUACAAGUAAUUCAUCUGCUCCACCUCCCUCCAAUGAUUCUUCACCACCUCCACCGCAAACUUCCCCUCCGCCUGCUGCAACUACACCUCCACCUUCACCACCAGCCUCACCACCACCCUCACCACCAUCCUCACCACCAACCACACCACGCUCAUCACCUUCGCCUCCGCCACCAUCACCUUCCGAUGCUACACCCCCUCCAUCACCUAAUAAUUCCCCUCCACCGGCCUCUUCCCCACCUCCUCCUGUAGAAUCAACGCCUGCACAAUCUCCCCCGACUGCUUCUCAACCCCCAACUUCUCCAAGUGUUCCAUCUCCCCCGGCUCCUCCUGGCUCACCACCGACUACUCCUCCGCCAGCUACUUUUUCUCCUCCUCCGCCUGUGGACUCUGCAUCUCCUCCAGGGCCACCGGCUUCCACUCCCUCCUCUCCAGGACCUCCAAUCGACUCUUCUACACCUUCUGGUUCAGCAGCAAGACCAACAUCAAGAGGUAGUGGCUCGAGUGUAACAGUGAACUCUGUUGAUCAUUCCCCUCCUGACAACCAUGAUCAAACAGUGAAGACGGGAAUAGCCAUUGGUGUCGUGGCAGCUGUUGUCAUAAUUGGCUUUUUGCUUGUCAUUGUGUGCUUGCAAAGGCGAAGGAAAAAACACACUCGAUACAAUUCAGUGUACAUGAUGCCUUCCCCAUAUAACUCUUCACAGACUUCGGGUACCUCUUUUAUAAAGCAAAAUGAUGUUGGUGGUGGCGAUUUUAUAAAUUCAUCAAUAGAUGGUCCUGGAAUAGGCAGUUCAAAAACAUGGUUUUCGUAUGAGGAGUUGAGUGCAGCCUCUGAUGGAUUUGCUUCACAAAAUAUUUUGGGGGCGGGUGGAUUUGGUUGCGUGUACAAAGGCUUAUUGCAAGAUGGCAGAGAAGUAGCUAUAAAGAAGUUGAAAGAUAAUAGUGGGCAAGGAGAUCGCGAAUUCAAAGCAGAGGUUGAGAUUAUUAGCCGUGUGCACCAUCGUUAUUUGGUUUCCCUUGUGGGUUAUUGUAUAACUGAUCUUCAAAGAUUGCUUGUCUAUGAAUUUGUUCCUAACGGCACCCUUCAUUACCACCUCCACAAUUAUAAUAAACCAGUCAUGCAAUGGAGCUUCAGAGUUAAGGUUGCCUGUGGUUCUGCUAAAGGAAUUGCUUACCUGCAUGAAGACUGUAAGUCAUCCACGGAUCAUUCACAGAGAUAUCAAAACUGCUAACAUUCUUAUAGAUAACAACUUCGAUGCUAAGGUAGCUGAUUUUGGGCUGGCAAAAAUAGCACAAGAGCUGGAAUCAAAUACACAUGUAUCAACACGUGUCAUGGGAACUUUUGGCUACAUGGCACCUGAAUAUGCAUCGAGUGGCAAGUUGACUGAAAAGUCUGAUGUCUUCUCAUAUGGAGUGGUGCUUUUAGAGAUUAUAACGGGGCGCAGGCCUGUUGAUGAAUCCAGGCCAAUAGGAGAUGAGAGCUUAGUUGAAUGGGCUCGACCUUUGAUGACUGAGGCAAUGGAAAACCAAAACUUUGAUGAACUUGCUGACCCGAGAUUGCAAGGGAACUAUGAUCGAGGUGAGAUGUUUCGGAUGAUUGAAGCAGCGGCUGCUUGUGUUCGGCAUUCAGCUAUAAAAAGGCCUAAAAUGAGCCAGGUGGUCAGAGCGUUGGAUUCAAUGAACGAGCUAUCAGAUCUAUCAAAUGGCAUGAAACCGGGCCAAAGUGGGAUCUUUGAUUCAAGAGAACAAUCAGCACAAAUCAGAUUAUUCCAAAGAAUGGCUUUUGGGAGCCAAGAGUUCAAUUCAGAAAAUCAAAAUAACAGCCAGAGUAUCUGGUCAAGUGGAGGAAGAAGUGGACUAGGUGGAGGCAGGAGUGGACUGGUUUAAGAUAUGAAUGUGAAAUUGUUUUGGUUCAUUGUUAAUCAUGUGUCCUGUGGAGAGGCAUAGUCUAUGCAUGUUGCUAAGAAGGAACGUCAAAUCCGUCCCCUUGAACUCGAGAAACAUACGGGGUGCGAAAGAUUGCUAAAAAAUUGUCAAAGAGGUGAUUGUUCCUUGGAACUUUGGCAAUUAGAUUUGAAGAGCUAGCACAGUACAGAUCUUGUUUCCAUAAUUGUAAAGUAUCACUUGGUUUUUCUCCUUGUGGAGAAUAAGCCCUUUUUUGGAUAUAACAUGAUUGAGGUUGUUUUACAGUGUGCUUCAGUGAUUGCAGUUGUUGCCUCCCUUUCUUCCUCUUUAUCUUCUGUUUAUUUUACUCCAUUCUUCAUGUUUGAAGAUUAUUUGGCCACUGAAUUUUGUAUUCAAAAUCUAUAUGUAUCCUAUAGUAGCAAAUUCUUGUA